AUUGAACGCUGGCGGCAGGCCUAACACAUGCAAGUCGAACGGUAACAGGAAACAGCUUGCUGUUCCGCUGACGAGUGGCGGACGGGUGAGUAAUGUCUGGGAAACUGCCUGAUGGAGGGGGAUAACUACUGGAAACGGUAGCUAAUACCGCAUAACGUCGCAAGACCAAAGAGGGGGACCUUCGGGCCUCUUGCCAUCGGAUGUGCCAAGAUGGGAUUAGCUUGUUGGUGGGGUAACGGCUCACCAAGGCGACGAUCCCUAGCUGGUCUGAGAGGAUGACCAGCCACACUGGAACUGAGACACGGUCCAGACUCCUACGGGAGGCAGCAGUGGGGAAUAUUGCACAAUGGGCGCAAGCCUGAUGCAGCCAUGCCGCGUGUAUGAAGAAGGCCUUCGGGUUGUAAAGUACUUUCAGCGGGGAGGAAGGGAGUAAAGUUAAUACCUUUACUCAUUGACGUUGCCCGCAGAAGAAGCACCGGCUAACUCCGUGCCAGCCGCCGCCGUAA
rnacentral:rRNA from 1 species